CCAGUGUGUGACAGCGAGGGCAACACACACAGCAACGCUGAAGCCCUGAGCUGCGCCAUCCAAUGCCUCCUCGUGGCGUCAGACGUGAAGCUGCUUCGCAGGGGGCCCUGCGACUCUCUGCCGACCGUGUGACAGCGGGACUCCGUGAGGACGUCAUGUGACGUGCACGUGUUCAGUCUGCUCGUCAGCACUAUAGAAACAGGCGCCAAUGAGGCCGAUGGACAGGACUCAUUGAAUUGAAAGAGAUGGAUAAAGAAGGCGUGCGGUCUUACAUCAACUGCCUGUUAUUUUGAUGCUUCAUUCGAUUGACCGCAAAUAAAUGAAAAUAAUAAAUUCUGAAAGUGA